GACGAACGCUGGCGGCGUGCUUAACACAUGCAAGUCGAACGGAACGUCCCUGCUUUUGUGGGGUGCUCUAGGGGCGAACGGGUGAGUAACACGUGAGUAACCUACACUUGACUUUGGUAUAACUUCAUGAAAGUGGGGCUAAUACCGGAUAGGAUCUCCUGCUGCAUGGUGGGGGUGGGUAAGUUUCGGCGGUUGGGGAUGUACUGGCGUCCUAUAAGCUUGUUGGUGGGGUAGUGGCUUACCAAGGCUUUGCCGGGUAGCCGGCCUGGGAGGCGGACCGGACCAGAUGGGCCUGGACUGAGGCACGGACCACUUUCGGACGCAAGAGAGCGGAAUAGAGCAUAAUGGGCGGAAGGCUAAUCUAGUACAGCCGCGUGGGGGAUGACGGCCAUCGGGUUGUAAACUGAUUUCGCCUGUGAAGAAGCGUGAGUGACGGUAAUGGGUAAAGAAGCACCGGCUAACUACGUG
rnacentral:rRNA from 1 species